GAUCUUUGAAUCCUUGAUACGUGGAUGUGUACGAGGAGAUCUGGAGGUCUCAAAAGUGAAGCAAAAGUGGUGCAGAAUCAGUAAUCAUUGGAACUAGCAGUAUGCAGUGGGGAUCAGAACAACUUAUUCAGUUCUUUCUCGCUUGAAUCAACUUGCUAUGCUACCACUAUAUGUGAAGAGUGAGGAAUGGAAGAAAAUCGCUCUCCUUGGUUACCGAGUUCAUAGAUCAAAUAAAGUGGGUGACUUCACCUCACCCACCACAAUGCCAUGCUACCUCGUCUCUUCAAUACGUACAACUGUUGGUAGUUGGUGCAGACUUUUUGUUUCACCCAGAAGGUUUCUCUUACCAUUGUUAUCAAAAUUGUCUGGUUCUUCAGUCUCCUAACUGUAAGCAUAUGAAAGAUGUUUCCAAAUAUAUGUUGUGCUCAAAAUGCAUCUUCUGCAACUCCAGCAAUUUUUCUGCUUACAAAAUUACUGUUGAUAUGCUGAUGUUGUUACUUUUAUGCCUGUGAUUUAUAACAUUUUUUCCCUUCCUCUAGAGAUAAUUGAGCUUGUUACUUUUAUGAGCCAAUAUAAAUAUGUCAAAUCAUAGAACAGGAAGUGGUUUCAGGGGAGUGUCUUAACAUGGUCCAUGUUCUAGUGGCAAGUUAUCAAGUAGGAUUAAAAUUAGAUGCCUUGUGCUCUUUGCUAAGCACAAGUAAAGCGACGUGUUAGAAAAGGGUCUCCUGCAAGGCUCAUUACUUCUUGCUAUCACUGUGUUUAACAGCUAUGCUUUGUAUUCCAUGCAGUAGUAAAAUUCAAAAGAAAUAAACUGUGUAGAGGUUGUAGGGUUGUUCCCUAAUACAUGAGCUGAAAUCUCCUCCUAAAAGCUUGAACAUGUUCAACUUGAAGCCAGUUUAGAGGUGAAAUGAAGGUGAUAUCAGCAAAUUUCAUGCUAGUUCCACGGUGUCUACCUUUACAGUUUGAAGUUUACCUUCCUAUGUUCCAUUGCUGAUUUUUUUUGCCAGACAUUCUUGAUUAUGAUUGCAAAGUUGAACAGCUAAAUUCUUGCUUUCAUGGGGUGGGCAACAACUUCUAAUUAUGCUCUUGAAAUAAAGAAUAGUGCAGUAGAUUUGAAGCACUUGGGAAGUAAAGCCAAACAAUCUCCAGGGCAAGGAAUUAAUAUGAAAAUAUAGUACAUUGUGCAUAUAUUAUAUGUAGGGAAGUAUGUCUGGAUUGUAAUAGUAGCUGCCUAAUACUUUAAUGGAUGAGCAAAUAGCACUCCAGAAGGCAUUGAUAAACUAUUGGGUUCCUGAAGCAGAUCACCAUUUUUCAACUUUCUUGCUCUCCAUAAAAAUCAGGACUCCAAUUUGGUACCGCUUUACAAGGGAUUAGAGAUUGCACCCUUUUCUUAAAUGCAUCAACUUAGCCAAUGAUUUAUUAUGAAGGCAAUGUCGAACACUGAAGAUGAGCUUUGAGAUUUUAACUCGUAGAAAAAGAAAAUUUACAAUGCUUAUUGUAACUUGAUCACUGAUUUGUUACAUAAUUCCUUGGACUUGAAGGUGUGUUUGGUUUUCAGAAUGAAUUUUGAUUUGUUUAAAAGGUAGAAAACCUUAAAUUGGCCCAUUUUGCUUGAAAUGGAUUUCUGAAUGAAUGAUGUGGUCCUCUUUCUAGUUUCAGUCACUACCACGUUUGAUUUGUCUGAAACAACUUCUUAGUCCACUGGUUCAUAUUAGCUGCCGAAUUACACGCCUUAGGCUUUCAGUUAGACAUGGGAACAGAUUAAGCUUGUUAUGCACGUCAAUUGUUAAUUGCUUUUAUAGUUGCUUUGAUUCACAUAGCUUUGGAGUUCUUGAUACUAAUAUUAGUACAAAUUUUUGUUUGUAGAAGUUUUAAUUGCUUCUAAAUCAUUAGUUAAGUUCUACCUUAUUUUCAUUUACUACUCAUUGCAAAUUGUUCUUUGAUUUUUUCUUAAUAUUUCAAAUUUCUGGCUUUUAACCUCUGUUUGCUUGCAAGUUCCAACUGCUUUCAACAUUGAAGCUUGAUUAGUCUAUGGGUACAAACUUAGUUUGAAUCAUUGUAGGCUCACUUCUAGUAUGAUUUCAGUGAUCUAGUAACUACAAAUUAUUGUGCUCCUUUAAUCUUCCACAUAAAUGCAAAUCUACUUGGUUCUUCUUCUACAACUUACCUGAAUAUAUUUUUGAAUCAAAAUCCUUUGUUACAGCAGGAAUAGUACCCACUAAUGACUGACUAAAUUUGGAAUUGAUAAAUGGAAGGGAAACACAAACUAGGUCUGUAAUGAAUGCAGUAAAGGUAAAAGAAGAAAGUACCUGAAUGAAAUUUGCAGUCCCAUCAGUGUGAAGAAAAGCAGAGUUUCCAUGGAAGGGCCUCAUGGUAAGAUGACUUAGCAUCAAUCUUUAUGCAAGGAACAUGCCCAAUUGUGGGCCAAUCUUUCCUUUUAGCAAAAUGAAUGGUGUAAAGUGCUUGAGUUGGUAACAAAAUGUGAAAAGUGGGGGUUUGAGGUUUCAACACAAUUUUCUCUUGAAGAAAUUAUCCCUAACCUAAAUUUUCAAUGCUUAGGUUGGAUUUGGUUUGGAUGGCCCAUAGACUGAUUGGGCAGAGUAAGGUGGUCCUAAGGGUCAUGGGGCUAAGGAUGGGCUAGGCUUAUAUGUAAUUUGCACCUUGAAUCUAAAUUUUAUAUUUAUAUGCAUCUACACUUUUCACACAUCCAUCCCGAAACUUAAAUCUUUUUAAUAUAUCCACUUGGUUAAUUUUUUCUUCCAUACCUUCUCUUCUACCUUCUUACCUCAUUUCUUCUUAGUCAAAACAAAAAUCAUCUCCCAAGCUUCUUUGUCACAAAAAAAUACAUUUGAAAUAAGUUUAAAGCUUCUUUGUUUCACAUGAAUGUUUUUAGUAUUAUUAGUUAUAUAAUUUUUUAUAAAUAUUUAUUGUAAAAAUAGUUAGAAAACAUUUAUGAUGAAUUUAACAUAUUUUGAGGCAAAAAGAAUAUUUUAAAAAAUAAAAAAUAAUAAUAUUUUUGUCCAAUAAUUGAUAGAAUUCAAUUUAAUUCAAUAGCUACAUAUUUUAUAGAUAUAGGAACACUUAGUUUAGGUUGGCAAUUUUAUUCCAUCCAUUCUAUUUUAGGACUUUGGAUAUUUAAUUUUAUGUGAUUUAUAUUACCUGAUGAAGACUCCAGAUUUGUAUAAAACCAACCUCCAAAAAUCCAAAUAAGUAUGAUUAAGUUAAUCAAAAGGCUAAUUAAUGACUUGUACAGGGCAUAAAGUGGCCUUACUUAUAGCAAUUAAAGUCAAUGUUUUGGUUUAAAAAUCCUUUCAUAUCUUCAUUAUAUAAGUAAAUAAAAUGGCAACAUAAUCUUAAAUAUUACAUUUAUAAUUAUUAUUCAAUAUAUCAUCUUUCUUAUAGUAAAAAAAGAAUAACAACAUACGCAAUUGGACCACAAAUAUAUACUCAAAUAAAAACAAUUUAGGUUAUAUUCAAUUCAACAUCAUGUACAAUUAUUAUAAUUAACAUAAAUAUAUAAAACAAAUCUCAUCACAACAUAAGUUAUUUGCUAGUAUAAUAUGAACUGUGGAUGAAUUUCCCAUCAACAAAUUUUUCAUUAUUUUUAAAAUUUUAUUAAAAAAUGUUUGUGAAUAAUCAUCAAGAUUCCGACCCCACUUUUGACUAACCCAUCAUGUGAAUGCUUAAAAAGACACUAGUACUUCCAAUAUUAUUUCUAUUUUGUCUAAUAAUUUGUGCAUCUUGAUUGUUUUAAGGGUUAUAUAAUUUUAUUUUUUAUUGAUUUUGAGAGUAGUUUUUAUAAAAAUAUUUUUAAUUUAUUUUAUUUUUAUUAAUGACAUUUUCACAGAAACGUUUGUUAAGAGAUCAGGUAACAAUCCGAUAUAAAUUUCUUUUUAUAAUUUUUAGUAACAUAUUAUGUAAGAAAAAUCAUAUUUUAAAGAAAUACAUAGUAAAUGCUAGUUUAAGAAUGAAAAGAUUCUUUAACUUUAUGAAACAAUUUUCAUAACUUUGUUAAAACAUGCUUUUUAAGUAUUUAGAAGCACUUUAAUCCUAUCAGAAUGAGCAACAUAGAUGUUUUUAUGUACCAUUCUAGCUAUUAAACAAUUUUCUAUUAAUCAAUUAAAAAAAGUAGAUGAAUGAGAUAUUAGAAAAAUGUAUACAUGCAUUUCAUGAGUUUUUCCUAAUCACAAAUCAAGUCUUUCGAAAGCUAAUAUGAAAAGGAUAAGAAGUAGGGUUACCUCUUUUUUAAUAUCUUCAAAUCAUACAAGAAGGGUAGAGACCUACACUACAUAAAUAGUCAACUUACAUACCAUCAAGGUUUGAAAAAAAUGGUUCAGAUGAUCGGACAACCAUCAAUAUGGACAUGACUAAAGCAAUUUGAUUUACUUUUUUUAUAAACUUACCCAAAAUCUCUUUCACUAAUUUUUUACUCAUAGAAGAUAUUCAAUCAUUCUACUUUUUUUUUUCUCAUGGUGUUAAUAUUUAUCUUCUCUUUUCUCUAUAUUAAAUCUUAUGGUAUACUUAAUUAAUUCACUCUCAUAUACGGAUACUAUUAAAAUAUAAUCAUAUGCGCUAAAAUUAAAUCAUUAUAUGGUUUGAACAAUAAAUUAAAAAUUCUUUCACUACCACUUCAUCAAGACAAGCAUACAUGUAAAUCUCAUUCCUUCUUCUUAAUAUUAAAGGUUUGAUAUCAUUUACCUUCUUCUUAAUACCUUUUUUUUUUUUAAUCUAAAGACCUAUAAAAUAAAAAAAUAAAAAAAAAACCUUUUGUUCUUCUUUUUAUACAUUACACCAAAAUUUUAAAAGCAAACUUUGGCACCAUUCAAUUAUUUUGAAAAAAUAUCCAACAUUUUGGAUAUUCCUUUUUGGUAAAUCCAUCUUAAAUCUAAUCCCAUCUUCCAAGACAGUCAUCUUAUUCAAUGAUUCCUAUCAAAGAGCCCAUAUAUUUGUAUCUUUUUGUAGGAUAAAACAAAUAUAAAGCCUAUUUGCAAAUUUUGGCAACCAUCUAAUUGCUUAAACACAAAUAUUAUAAGCUUAAUUAUUAUUUUGAGGGUCCAAAUUUGAAGAAUGGUUCUUUGCUUUUUAAUUGGGUAGGUGGAAUGGUGGAAGUAAUUAUUAUUUUGAGGAUCCAAAUUUGAAGAUUGGUUCUUUGCUUUUUAAUUGGGUAGGUGGAAUGGUGGAUGUAAUUAUUAUUUCGAGGAUCCAAAUGCGGAAUGACUCAUUUUUUUUGUCCCCAUUCAAGUUUUCAACACCUAAUAUUAAAAAGUUGGUACAUUAUUUUUUUCCAACUACACCCACUUGUAAUAUUUUUUUCCCGAAUCAAAUCAAUUUCUUUCUUUAAUUUCUUUUCUUUUGGCAUUUGCUUUUGCUGUCAAAUUCUUUCAAGGUUCCUGAAAUACCCUCUUCUGUUUUCACAUUUCUACUAUACGGUAAGCACGAGCUUAAUAUUGGACAAGGAUAAAACAGUAAUUAAAGCUGGAGGAACUCUUCUUCUUUCCCAACUUCAUGUUUCUACACAGCAGAUGCUUUGAGAGUGCAAAGAGUUUCCCAACAAAAGCUUGAUCCCGAGAUUCCUUUCAAAAUUAUGCUUAAAACAACACCAUUUACUUUCAAUAUGUUUCCAUUUUGUCCAUUAGAACAAUUCAUGUAUAUAACUUUAUUUUUUUAUUAAUUUUGAGAAUACUUUUCAUAAAAAUAUUUUUAGUUUAUUAUAUUUUUAUUAAUAACAAUUUCAUAUAAAUAUUUGUCAAGAGAUCAAGUGAGACUCAGAUAUAAAUUUCUUUUUAUAGUAUUUUUAGCAUUAUAUUAUCUAAGACAAAUAAUAUUUUAAAGAAAUACAUGUUAAAUGAUAGUUUAGAUAUCAAAGAUUCUUUAAUUCUAUGAAGCAUUUUUCGUAACUUUGUUAAGCAAAAUUUUGAUGAUCAAGUACUUUAAUCCCACCAAAAUGAGUCUUUAAAAUGUUUUUAUGUACCAUUCUAGCUAUUAAAUAUGUUUUCAUUAAUCUAUUAAAAAACCUAGAUCAAUUAGAUUUUAGAAAAAUAUAUGCAUUUCAUGAGUCUUUGCUCACCCACAAACUAAGAUUGUGUUUGUUUUUUUUGUUUUUUUAUGAAAGCAAUUUAUUUUCAGAAUUUAGAUAGUUUGUUUUUAUAUUUUUUCAUAACUUAUUAUAAAUUUUUUAUUAAAUAAAAAAAGCGAAAAUAUAUAGCUUUUUCUAAAUAAAAAAAAAUAACAUAUUGGUUUUUCUUUAUUUUUUAAUACUUAAUAGAAAUAAAAUACUACAAAAACAAACAACAUAAUAUUUAACACUAUUAAGUAUUAAGGUUCUAUUUAGAAUUAAGUAAAAAAACAAGGACCCCCUAAGUCUUUUGAAAGUCUUUUAUUUAAUAUCUUCAAUCAUACAAAAAGAGUAGGACCUACAUUACAUAAACAAUCAACUUAUAUACCAUCAAGGUUUAGAAAAAAUAAUUCAAAUAGUCGGACAACCAUCAAUGUGAAUAUGAUUAAAGCAUUUUGAUUUAUUGUUUUAUAAACUUAUAUGGGAGUCUAUUUCACUAAUUGUUUUAAUCAUGGAAGAUACUCCAUCGUUAUACUUUUUUCUCGUAUUUAGAUUCUAAUAUUUAUCUUCUCUUUUCUUGAUAUUCAAUCUUAGGUACACUUAAUUAAUUCACUCUCGUACAUGGAUACGAGAAUGAAGAGAGGCACCAAAGUUAAAUUACCAUAUGGUUUGAACAAUUAAAAAUUCUUUCUCUACCAUUUCACUAAGACAAGCAAGUAUGAAAAUUUCACAGCUUUAUCUCCUAAAUUUUCAUCUUUCUUUUAUAAGUUAUCUCGGGCCAGCGAUGAUAAUUUUUCUAGAGUUUAAAAAAAUAAUAAUAAUUAAAUAAUACAAAAAAAAAAUUAAAAUUAAAUUUAUAGAAGUUCAAUUUAUUUAAUAAAAAGUUUAAUUUAUAAAUAAAUUUACUUCCAACACCUAUCAGGAGGAUGUUACAAUUUAAAAUUUUAUUAGUUCAACUUCUGUUAAUGUUUUUAUUAUAAUAAAGAUGAAACAUUAGAAUAAAAAUUGAAGUUGAGGGAACGUCGGAUUUUGAAUAGAGCACUCCAAAAUAUUAAAGUGAGAAUUAAUUAAGAGCUUUCUUAAAGAAAACAUUGGUUAGCAUAUAGUAAUUUUAAUUGAGUGUAGCUUCUAUUAUAUAUUUAAUAUUUUUAUAUUUAAAAUUUUGUUUUUACGUUGCUGCAAUUAAAAGGUUUUUUUUAUUAUUUUUUUCUUUUUUAGAGUUUUACAACUGUAACUCUUCUCAUUUUGAUUAGUAGAUUAUUGAGUGUUGAUGUAUUUCAUGGAUGUAGGGAUCACAUUAAUCGUUGAACCACGUUAAAAAUUUUAUUUAUUUUUUAUUUUCUAUUUGUGUGUGUACGUGAUUUGAUUAACACAUUUGACACACUAUCCCACAAAAACAUUGAAUAGGUGCCCUAAAAGAGUUCAAGGAAGACCCCCACAAGCUUAGAGGGUUGGAGUCGUGGGAAGCCUAACAUUACAAUAUAAGAUUGUUUAGUUGUAUAUUCUAUACUUAUAUAUUUGGUGCAUUAUAAAAUAAAAUAAAAAUUGAUAAUAAGGUGAAAAAUUAAUUUUUAUUGAUUUAUAAUUGGGUGACAAAAGACUAUAAUGUAUAUAAUUCAUAAAUCAAUAAAUCAAGACUAAAGCAACUUGAUUAAUUAUUUUAUGGACCCAUGUGGGAGCCCUUUUCGUUAAUGGUUUUACUCAUAAAAGAAAUUCAAUAAUUCUACCAUUUUCUCAUGCUUGGGUUUUAACAUUUUAUAGAACUACACCCACUUGUAAUACUUUUUCCAGUCAACAAUUUUAAUUGAGUGUAGCUUCUAUAAAUAAUUGAUUUAUUGAGUAGUUUUAAAACUCGGAUGUUGAAGUAAAGUCAGUUUUGAAAAAAUUGGCCCCAUUAACAGCUGGACCGAAUAAUUUUCAAACCUAAAGUCAGUGCGGACAGCAAUAAAGCAAUUUGAUUGCUUGUUGUGCAGACACACCCAUGUGAUGUGACACUGCCUUUCCCUGAUUGCUUUAUUCAUUGAAGAUAUGCCAAAAGCAUGCAUUGUAUUUUUUUGCUUUUUCUUUUUCUUUUUUCUUUCAUUGUUUCAAUACUAAUGGACAAUUCUUCUCAGUAAUUUGUGGAAGUUCUUAAAGAACCCUUCUUUUUUUGUAAUUUCAUUGUGAGCAAAGGUGAUAUUUUGAUUGUAGAAGGGUGAACAAGUAAUUAGACCCAUCUCAUAUAAUUAAGAGCAAGUUUUGAGAGUGCAGAGGCCUUCACAACUCUCUGGGUUUUCUUCAUUGUAUGUUUCUGAACUUCUGAAUCCUUCGUUUCCAAAGAAAAAUGGUUGUGGUGGAGGCGUUUCUGUCUUCCUUGUUUGAGGUGGUGCUGGACAAGCUGGUGGCUGCCCCUUUGUUAGAUUAUGCACGCCAGCUCAAAGUAGACACAGCAGUGCUCCAGGAGUGGAGGAACACUUUGUUGCAGCUCCAAGCAGUGCUACAUGAUGCUGAGCAGAGGCAGAUUCAGGACGAAGCAGUGAAGAGGUGGCUGGACGAUCUCAAAGCUUUAGCUUACGACAUUGAAGAUGUCCUUGACGAGUUUGAAGCUGAAGCUAAGCGGCCCAGUUCGGUACAAGGACCUCAAACCAGCAGCAGCAGCAGCAGCGGCAAGGUAUGGAAGUUCAACCUCUCUUUUCAUCCUAGCGGUGUGAUUUCCAAAAAGAAGAUUGGUCAAAAAAUAAAGAUAAUCACCCAAGAGCUAGAGGCUAUUGUAAAAAGAAAGUCUUUCCUUCGUUUGAGUGAGAGUGUUGGAGGGGUGGCAUCAGUAACUGAUCAACAAAGGCUGACUACUUUCUUGGUAGAUGAGGUUGAGGUUUAUGGCAGGGAUGGUGAUAAGGAGAAGAUCAUAGAAUUGUUGCUGUCUGAUGAACUAGCUACUGCUGAUAAAGUUCAGGUGAUUCCAAUUGUUGGUAUGGGUGGGGUUGGAAAAACAACCCUUGCUCAAAUCAUCUAUAACGAUGACAAGAUGCAGGACAAGUUCGAUUUCCGAGUCUGGGUGUGCGUGUCUGAUCAAUUCGAUUUGAUAGGAAUAACAAAAAAAAUUUUAGAGUCAGUCUCUGGCCAUUCAUCCCAUUCUGAAAACUUGUCAUUGCUGCAAGCUAGUUUGCAGAAAGAGUUGAAUGGAAAAAGGUUUUUCCUUGUGCUGGAUGAUAUAUGGAAUGAGAACCCCGAUAACUGGAGUACCUUACAAGCCCCACUCAAAGCUGGAGCACUGGGCAGUGUAAUCAUAGCAACCACCCGCAAUGAAAAAGUAGCAUCAAUUAUGGGCACAACUCCUUUUUGUCGUCUUAGCGAACUAUCAGAUGAACAUUGCUGGUCAGUAUUUGCAUAUCGUGCCUUCGAAAAUAUAACUCCAGAUGCAAUAAAAAAUUUGGAACCUAUUGGUCGGAAAAUAGUACAGAAAUGCAAAGGUUUGCCCUUGGCAGCAAAAACGCUAGGAGGUUUAUUGCGGUCUGAACAAGAUGAAAAGGCUUGGAAGGAAAUGAUGAAUAACAAAAUAUGGGAUUUACCAACGGAACAGUGUAACAUUUUUCCAGCUCUACACUUGAGCUAUCAUUAUCUCCCCACAAAAGUAAAGCAGUGUUUUGCAUAUUGCUCCAUCUUUCCCAAGGAUUAUGAAUAUCAAAAGGAGGAGUUAAUUUUGUUAUGGGCGGCACAAGGUUUUGUGGGUGACUUCAAAGGAGAGGAGAUGAUAGAAGAUGGUGAAAAAUGUUUUCGGAACCUAUUGUCAAGGUCAUUCUUUCAACAAUCAAGUCAAAAUAAGUCAUUGUUGGUGAUGCAUGAUUUGAUUCAUGAUUUGGCCCAAUUUGCAUCUAGAGAAUUUUGUUUCAGAUUGGAAGUGGGAAAGCAAAAAAACUUUUCAAAGAGGGCUCGACAUUUGUCAUACAUCCAUGAACAAUUCGAUGUCUCCAAGAAAUUUGAUCCCCUUCGUAAGGUUGAUAAGUUACGGACCUUCCUACCAUUAGUUAUGCCUGCAGCUUAUGUUCCAACUUGCUACUUAGCUGAUAAAGUUCUACAUGAUCUAUUGCCAACAUUCAGAUGUUUGCGGGUUUUAUCCUUGUCUCACUAUAAUAUCACUCAUUUACCUGAUUCAUUUCAAAAUUUGAAGCAUUUGCAGUAUUUGAACCUUUCUAGCACCAAGAUAAAGAAGUUACCUAAAUCCAUAGGUAUGCUUUGCAAUUUGCAAUCACUGAUGUUGUCAAAUUGUCAUGGGAUUACCGAGCUGCCUCCUGAAAUCGAAAACCUCAUCCACCUACAUCAUUUGGAUAUUUCUGGAACCAAAUUAGAAGGGAUGCCAAUAGGAAUCAAUAAACUAAAAGAUCUUCGAAGAUUGACUACUUUUGUUGUUGGCAAGCAUAGUGGUGCAAGAAUUGCAGAGUUACAAGAUCUGUCCCAUCUGCAGGGAGCACUCUCCAUUUUUAACUUGCAAAAUGUGGUGAAUGCUACGGAUGCUUUAAAAGCUAAUUUGAAGAAAAAGGAAGACCUUGAUGACUUGGUGUUUGCGUGGGAUCCAAAUGUGAUUGAUAGUGAUUCGGAGAAUCAAACCAGAGUUCUCGAAAAUCUUCAGCCUCAUACCAAGGUGAAAAGGCUCAACAUUCAACACUACUAUGGCAGAAAAUUUCCAAAAUGGUUUGGAGAUCCUUCAUUCAUGAAUUUAGUUUUCUUACGACUUGAAGAUUGUAACAGUUGCUCGUCCUUGCCACCACUUGGGCAGUUACAAUCUCUCAAGGAUCUCCAGAUUGCGAAGAUGGAUGGAGUACAAAACGUUGGUGCAGAUUUCUAUGGGAAUAAUGAUUGUGACUCAUCUUCAAUUAAGCCGUUUGGAUCCCUAGAGAUUCUGAGGUUUGAAGAUAUGUUGGAGUGGGAAAAAUGGAUUUGUUGUGACAUUAAGUUUCCUUGUCUGAAGGAGCUUUAUAUCAAGAAAUGUCCAAAGCUGAAAGGAGAUAUACCUAGGCACCUUCCUCUUUUAACAAAAUUGGAGAUUAGUGAAAGUGGGCAGCUGGAGUGUUGUGUUCCAAUGGCUCCCUCUAUUCGUGAAUUGAUGUUGGAGGAAUGUGAUGAUGUGGUGGUUAGAAGUGUUGGCAAGCUCACCUCACUAGCUUCUUUGGGCAUAAGCAAAGUUUCUAAAAUACCAGAUGAAUUGGGACAACUGCAUUCUCUUGUAAAGUUGUCUGUGUGUCGUUGUCCCGAGCUAAAGGAAAUUCCACCAAUUCUUCACAACCUUACAUCUCUUAAACACUUGGUGAUCGAUCAAUGUAGGAGUCUUUCAUCUUUUCCGGAGAUGGCGCUGCCACCCAUGCUUGAAAGGCUUGAAAUCAGAGACUGUCGCACUCUGGAGUCCCUACCAGAGGGAAUGAUGCAAAAUAAUACGACUCUGCAAUACUUGGAAAUCCGUGAUUGUUGUUCUCUGAGGUCCUUGCCCAGGGACAUUGAUUCAUUGAAGACACUUGCAAUCUACGAGUGUAAGAAAUUGGAGUUAGCACUCCACGAGGAUAUGACGCACAACCACUACGCUUCCCUUACCAACUUCAUGAUAUGGGGUAUUGGUGAUUCUCUGACGUCCUUUCCAUUAGCCUCCUUCACAAAGCUUGAGACGCUUGAAUUAUGGGAUUGUACAAAUCUGGAGUACCUUUACAUUCCAGAUGGACUUCACCACGUGGAUCUCACAUCUCUCCAGAUAUUAUAUAUCGCUAAUUGCCCUAAUCUGGUAUCUUUUCCGCAAGGAGGAUUGCCCACUCCUAAUCUGACAUCUCUUUGGAUAAAAAACUGCAAGAAGCUCAAGUCACUGCCGCAAGGGAUGCACUCCCUCCUUGCAUCCCUUGAAUCAUUGGCAAUAGGAGGUUGUCCAGAAAUUGAUUCAUUUCCAAUAGGGGGUUUGCCCACUAAUCUAUCUGAUCUUCACAUCAAGAAUUGUAACAAACUCAUGGCCUGUCGGAUGGAGUGGCGCUUGCAAACGCUUCCCUUUCUUAGAAGCUUAUGGAUUAAAGGACUUGAAGAAGAAAAAUUGGAGUCAUUUCCUGAGGAGCGGUUUCUGCCCUCCACUCUCACCAUUCUUUCAAUUGAAAAUUUUCCAAAUCUGAAAUCCUUGGACAAUAAUGACCUUGAGCACCUGACCUCUCUUGAAACUCUGUGGAUUGAGGACUGUGAAAAGCUCGAGUCCUUGCCAAAACAGGGAUUGCCCCCCUCCCUUUCUUGUCUUUAUAUUGAGAAGUGUCCUCUGCUGGAGAAGCGAUGCCAAAGGGAUAAAGGGAAAAAAUGGUCCAACAUUUCUCACAUUCCCUGCAUCGUGAUAUUUAAUGAAAAGGAUUUGUCAAUUGAAGAGGUCAACAUGUCAUGAGGCACUUGCAUCCAAACUCUUGCCUUUCUAUGCAAUUAUUAAUUCAGUACGUACUUUCUACUUUUAUUUAUGUUUUGUGCAAUCCACACAACCGAGUUUGUGUAUCAUUCUCUUCUACCAAUCAAUUCCAUCUCACCAUACACCUUCCAUGGCUGCUCCAGAAUUGAAACCAAUAUUUUAAACUCUAAUACAAAAUCAAAACAAACUACUACUUGAAAAUUACUUUUAUUUUUUAAUUAUAUGAAUAUUAAAUGUGUGUAGUAGUUUUAAAUUUCUUUCUUUCUUUUUUAAAUAUCUUUAGUAGUUAUAUAACAAAUAGAAAAAUUGAAUUUUAAAGGAUUUUUCAAUAAAUUUUAAGUGAUUUUCCUUGAUUUUAUUAUCAAAAUUUUAAAAUAAAAAGUAAAAAUACCCCCCAAAAUACACCUUUGAAAUUAUUUUCAAAUUAAAUUUUUUUUAAAUCCAAAUAAAUAAAAAAGUACAAAUGAACAAUCCUUAAUUUUUGUGGGAGUUUUUUUUUCAUGUUUUUUAGUUUUUUUUUUUUAAAAAAAAAUUAUUUGAUCAACAACCCUUGUAUUUGAAUCUUUGAAUUUGUGGUGUGUGUCUUUUAACGUUAAUUUCUUCAAAUAGGAGUAGGCUUAUAUAUGUUGUAUGUUAUCAAUAUCAAAGAAACUAUUAAUAUGUUUAAUUCCUUUGAACCUGAAAACAACUGUACCUAUGAUCUGUAAGUGAAAAACAAGCCAAACAUAUUGACUUUGAAACUAUAAUAUUUUGUAUGAAUUGUCCAAAUAUAUUCAUUUAAGGCUUUUCAUGAACUCUAUGUAGGUUUUUUUUAAUACAAUUUUCGAGACAAAAUGUUGGAGGGCAACAAUCAUUUUCUUAGCAGUUCUAUGUUAUAUGUAAGUACAUGUAUACUUGUUCCUUGGUUCUAAUUUGGUGGGGUAUAGAUUUUUAAGUGACCUUUGUAAACAAUUAGCUCAUUUCUAAUUCUAAUUCCAGUUUCUGUAAUCAUAUUUCAGGGACUGUAAAACUAUUCAUGUCAUGAUGAAUUUUUUAUGCUUGAGUGCAUACAAUCUCGUUAUUGAUCGAGGAGGUUCUCCACCAAACAACUCCAUUCAUAGCUAUAGAGUGCCCUGUUUUCACAUAGGUACAAAUUAUUCCACAAUCCCACUUUCUCACUUACGACAAUAAUUCACAUAUAUGAGUUUCAACUGAAGAAAACUUGAUUUAUAUUUCAUCUCUAGGAAUAAGCAAAAACCUGAAUUAACAAAUGUGGGAACAAUUAGCCAAUCUCAUUGGUUUGGUUGCUGAGGAUUGUCUUCUUUAGAGUUUUGACAUUAUGCUUGCUCCUGAAUUCUCCAUGGUGACACCAUCAAUAUCUAUUCCUUGACUUUGCUCCAUGUGAAAGCUUUCAACUCAUUAGAGCAACUACUAAAGGAUUGUACUUGUGGGUUCUUCACAAUCUAAAGGGUAUUAAUUCUUUUCUUGGUCCCCUUGAUUCACAUAUAUAAUUUUAGAGUUAUGGUCACUAGUAUUAGUGUGCAUUUUAGUUUGUUUCAUUUUAUUGUUUUUAAAUCAUUAAUUAAUAUGUAAUGAUCGAUUUUCAUUCACUACUCGCUACAAUUGGGUCUUCAAAUAACAAUCCUACUUGGUUUUUUCCUUUUAAUAUAUCAUUUAUGUGUCUUUUCACUAUUUUUUGUUGGCAACUUCAUUUGCUAUCAGCAUCUCUAAUCUGGAUCAAAUGACUUCUCUUUAUAGAAGUUUGGUUGAUCCAUAAUUAUAAAUUUAUUUUUGAUCCAAAUACACUGUAAAAUUCCAUCUAAUGAAAUAUUUUAAGUCCACAUUAUGUGGUUGUCCUUAAACCUAGGUUCAUCUUUAUUUUAUGCAGCUUCCUCACUGGCAUCACUGAAGGCUUUGGAAGAGGUAUUCACAUCACAUUUUCUCCAAACAAUCUUUCCCAAUGUCAUUGACUUUUGGAAUAAAAUAUGGCUAGCUUUUACCACCAUAAUGAUUCUGUUUUGUUAGAAUAUUUAUAUCAGUGAGCAUGCCGCAUGGGAAAUGCAACACUUUUCAGAAGUUAACAUGAAAUUAGCUGGACAUGUUUUGGAAAAUUGGGUAGCUUCUACCCUUGAUCCAUGAAAGCACUCUUCAGCUGAACCUGAUUUGGAAGUAGAAAUUUAAUUCCAUGGCGCAAUUUAGUGUUAUUAUUUGUCAUUGCUUUUGAGUUGUCAUCAGAUUUUCAACAUGUGACUGCAUUUUAUGGAUGCUUGUUUCUUUGUUAUUUUGAUUUUAGAAUGGAGAUUGUUGCUCAAAAAGUUAAUGCAGAACCACAAAGACACGGAACUAUGUGAAUGGUAUGGCAUUGGAUGGAUUUUUCAUUUUUCCUCUAUCUUGUAUAGGAAGAGCUUAGCUAGACAUGGUAGAGAAACUCUCUUUUUAAAGUUUAUUAGCCAAAUUAUAUAUGACAUCAUAUUUCAUAGAAACAACUACUAUGGCAUCAUAUUUCAUAAGACUUUGAAAUUAUCUACGAGUGGAGAUUGGAUGAGUAGGAUUAUGCAUUUUAUUUAGUUUGCUCCUUCUGUCAUCAUAUUUUAUUUAGUUCUCUUGUUGCCAUUAAACUAUGCAAGUUCCUCUGACUUUUGGCAACUUAAGAUGAGAGUAACUUGAAUGAAUAUACUACAAAAAUAUUUCUGGUUCUAUUUUACCACUGCAUGCGUAAAAUUCCGGUCCACAUCGAACUCUUAAGGGUGAAUAUCCAUGCUUAAUAGAUAGUUGGUGAAUUGCAUAUAGAUAUUUGUAAUUGCUUAAUUUAUUCAUAGAGCUAGAAUUUAUAUUUUGUAAACAGGAGUAUAAAGGAAGUAAGAAGAAAAGCGAAGAACUAUGGCCAUGAAGGUUAGAUCAGCUUGCUAAGUUGGUAUAACAACACAAAGUAAGACUUCUUCUAUUACUCAAAUAACCGAGUGACAUAUCCUAGCAAGAAAAAACUGUAUGAUAUUUUUACAAAUUGAAACCACCUUUGCUGGGUUUUCCAGACCUUCAACAUGCAAGGGAAAAAACAAUCAAGACUUUAAUGCUUCUAUAUUUUUAUGAUUAAAAAGUUCAAAGUUUUAGAAAAUUAUAGAAGAUGCUGUUGGAUGUAGUUUUUGAUGCAGGUUAUUAAAUGGGCUGUCAACAAAACCCUUAGAAAUAGAAAUUAGAGGUUGAUCUAAACUUUCAAAUCUAGCUAUUUUUCCACUUUAAAAUUUAAUAUAAGAUUCAGUUAAUGGACAAAUUGCAUUUCAAUAUUGCAGGCUUAUAGUGUAAAUGCCAACUUGGUAGCUAUCAGAAAAGCUUUCAGUACUACCAUAGCUGUUUUAUUUUGCUGGGGUUUUAUGUCCAACCAUGUGCUGGAAGAGAACUUUCUCCAAGCCCUUUCAGAAGCUUAUAAUAAACCUCGAAAGUCCUCAUGCCACAUUAAGGUAGGGAAAUGGGAUUGUACCUGUGACCUGUGACCUGUUUCAUACUCCCACUAGCUGUUACUAAUUUCUUUUUUUUCUUUUCUAAUUUAUUAGAUCUUUGAAUCCUUGAUAUGUCGAUGUGUUAGUGAAGCUCUGGGGGUCUAAAAAGCGGUGCAAAAGUGGUGCAAAAUCACUAAUCAUUGGAACUAGAUAUAUGCAGUGGGGAUCAGAACAAGCUAAUUCAGUUCUUUCUCCCUUGAAUCAACUUGCUAUGCUACCACUGUAUGUGAAGAGUGAGGAAUGGAAGAAAAUCCCUCUCCUUGGUUACGGAGUUCAUAUAUCAAAUAAAGUGGGUGACUUCACCACCACAAUGCCAUGCUCCC
rnacentral:lncRNA from 1 species